GUGUUUUAUGAAACAAGAGAAGAUUAGCAUUCCCAUUGACAAGGUUGGAGUAGGCCCUUGGGCCCAACAACAAAUAGCAUGUCACUGUCUAACAUAGUUGAAUAGAAAUUUAU
ensembl:snRNA